AAUCAACGCUGGCGGCGUGCCUCAGACAUGCAAGUCGAACGAUUAAAGCUCUCUUCGGAGAGUGCAUAAAGUGGCGCACGGGUGAGUAACACGUAAGUAAUCUACCUUCGAGUGGGGAAUAACAUCGGGAAACCGAUGCUAAUACCGCAUAAUGCAGCGGCAUCGCAAGAUGACAGUUGUUAAAGAUUUAUCGCUUGAAGAGGAGCUUGCGGCAGAUUAGCUGGUUGGUAAGGUAAUGGCUUACC
rnacentral:rRNA from 1 species